rnacentral:lncRNA from 1 species
AACAUAACAGAUUGGAGACCUGCAACAUGGAACAUGUCUGAAUGGACCAAGCUCUGAUCCUGUAAAGACUAUGGAUAUCUUUAAGAUUCCAAGCCAAGAGUAUCCCUUUGAGAUUCCAGAGGGCCACAGGCAGCAGCUAGUACAAACAUUCUGCAACACAGCCCAUGCACACGGCACUGCGUAACUGCACCAAGCCACAAGCAAGGGAAGCAGAAAGCAGUGGAGAAGGACAAGUCUCUCUUGCUUCUCGGAUUAUGUAUACUGGAUUAAUGCUCAUUUCUUAUUAGACAGCUUCCCUCUCUCUUCACUUGUUCCGUUGUGCUGGCAUGCUAUGAAGGGCGGAGCUGCAGCACCAUUUCACUCCCUGCUCCAUGCAAGAAAAGAGGAGAAACAGGCCAGUCACAUCUGCUCUUCCCUUGUGCAGGGUCUGGCAGCCUGAAAAUCCCAUGCAGGGGAGAAAGAGGGCUCUUUGCCAUCACCAGGCUGACAGCCGGGCCCAGAAUGUAAAACGAAGCACAUGCAAACCUCUGCAGGAAUUCCUUAGUGCUCAGCCUGAGGGUUAGAUGUUGGAGUUAGGGAAAUCAAACCUCAGGACUCUAAAUGCAAGGAGUAAUUCCUGCCCAGAGGUUCCAGUGGUCAAUGUUAGCAGUGACAGCAGGAAUAAGCACACCAGUAAUUAUAAACAAAGGCUAAACUAAACAAAUUCACUUUCAUUUUUUACAAUUUUAUACAAAAGAAAAUGAGUGCAAUGAAUAUACUAACAGCCAAGUCUUUGUUUCUUAAUUUUAUCACUAUUUUCUUUGGCACCAUGAGGGAUCUCUUAGUGAGACCUAAGAGGAAGGAGAAACUGAUUCAGCAAGAGGCCAAUGUAACACCAUUGAUCUGCAAGGCUGAAGCCAAGCAUCUGGAAGAAUGCUGCCUUGGCUUCACGAUUUUACACAACUUGGUAGAACCACGGGAGAAUGUUACGAUACCAAGCCACAUGAAAUGGAAACAUUCAAAAAGACCUUUGGGCUGGAUCCUGUGCUUCCAUCAAGCUGCCCUCAAGCCCAUGACUGAAUAG